UGCAAAAGUGGAGGGAAUCAGCUGUUUCCCUCUUAAAGUCAACGUGAUUUUUACUUAAGGUUUUACAAAAGUUAAUUCAAUUUAGUUAAUUUUUUUUGUUCAGCAAUUUAUUAAUUGCCUAUGUUUGCCAUCAUGCUGCAUUAUUUGAGAUUAUUGUGAUUCUAAUUAACUUAGUAAUGUAGUUUUUUUUGAAUUUCUUCAGUCUAAACGUUUCUUUAUAAAUUACAUUACAUUUUAUGCAUUUUGUUUUUUUCUUUUUGUGUAUUUUUGCUGUUUCUUUAAUGAUAUUUACCAAUAGUUUAACGGUAAAAAUCUGGGCAAAAGAUGAUUUGAUUGAUGAGAAUGAUUCAACAGAAUCAAAAAGCAAUCAACUUGAUUAAGAUCAUUGAAGUGAGAUUGAUACACAAGGACCCUUUCAAGCUUAAUCCAAUUUUAAGGAAAACCUGGAGCAACACAGUUCAACAUAUUACAAUUAGCUGGCACAUGAAUAUGGUUGGUGCGAGGAAAAACUAAAUUUCAAUUAAUGUUCUAUCAGUGAACCCAGGAGAGCAUCAUCAUGAUCAUCAUUCUUCAACCUUGAACAGUAACCCAUCCAUCAUGGUUAACCCUGGCAAAAAUUGAAUGAGGAUUCCCAUAAGAGCCUGAUGAGUAGAUGAUGGAACCAAAGGAAAGCGUUAAAAAUAUCUUAAAUAUAGUUGAACAUCUUUAAAGUCUAUUGUAACCUUGAUUAUACAAUUUAUGGGAAUAGUUUGCUUUUUUACAAUCUAAAUUGAAGUAACUUUUAACGCUAAUCAAUUUAGAUUCAUUACAGAAUUUAGUUCAUCUUUCACAAAGUGUAUAUAAAAAAGAGGAAGGAUGAACAAUUUGAUUACCCUUAAUACAUUGUUUACAUCUUAAGAUAAUUUACGUUCAUCUAUUUAAAGUGAUCGUCAAACUAUUCCCAGGUUGAUUACUGUUGAGUUAAACAAUCAGUUACUGAAUGGUUAUUUACAACGAAAAUGACUUGAUGAUUUACAUUGUUCCAUUUCCUUGUUUACCUUUCAAUCACAUCAACAGUUAUUCAUUAUUGGUACAAAUUUACAUUUACAUGGUUUACUUGAUUAGCUGUUUAACAUCAUCAGACAAUGAUGAUGAGAAAGUAUCGGCUGAUUGUAUUAAUAAAGUAAAACAUGUAAAGAAAAAAUUUGAUCAGGAAGUUGAUUAGUAAACAAUGAGUUGAACCAAUUUACUAAACAAAUCAACAUUAAUCUUUCAAUCUUUACCAUUUGUCCUUUCCCUUUUAUGCAUAAAUUAAUUGCAACUAUUAGGUAAAAUUAUCAGUUUGAAUUAAGUUCAUUUUCAGGGUCAAUUAUAUCCUUAAAUCAGGGUGUGACUGAUCAGUUUCACUUUCUCAAUCAUCUAACCAAGCUCGUUGAAACCACUUAACAUCUUUUAAUUUUUAAAUUAAAUACAAAAUUUCUCAAAUUGUUAAUCUUCCCUCAACAUUCAAAGUCUUUGUAUAAUGGCAGCAUUUUUUCCUCAACUGUCAAUUCUCAAAUUUAAUUAUCGUUUUUCACCUUUUCUAUCCCUAUUUGUUCAUCAUUAAGGCUCUAAAAUGUUUUAUUUAACAUUUAUAAUCAACAACAAGGUGAAACAACAACAAUUUACUCGGUCAAGUGUUAGGUCAACCUGAAUUAUUGAAUAGUUUGAAUGAUUGAUCAACAUUUUUGUUUAUUAUUACUGAUAUUGAUUUGAAAAACAAAACCUUGUCUUGUUAUAAUGAACAAAGCUGUAUUGAACGGUUAAUUGACUUUUUUUAUCAUCAUGGCGAUUCUCAAUGAUGAAUGUGAUUAAAAUGAUGAAAUGUGUCGAUGAUAAGAUGAGUAACUGUGCUUUCAAUUGAUCAACCUACGAUUUAACCUUAACACAGAAAUCAAUUUGAAGAUGAAGUCAAUCUGUUGAACAACAUGAAUGAUUUAUCCAUCUAAUGUGUGUUUCAAUGCAACAAACAAACAAAGUGAAAUGUAAUAUGAACCAAUUAGGUUGAACAAAUGGUAAACAUUUGACCAAUUUUUGAACCUAAUUUGAUUUGUUUCAUAUAAAUACACAACAAAAUAAUGACCAUAACAAGUAAUAUUUAGUAAAUCUCAAAUAUCUGUUUGAUAUUAAAGCAACAAUUGGGAUGAUCUUGGAGCUGAUGAAGUGAAAAUAAUUGAAUUCAAUUUUUAAAAUGUGGUUACACUGUUGAUACAAUAAAAGAUGAAAUGAUUAUGUUAUUAAUAGUCAUAAUGAUGGUGAUUAAACCAUAUUAAAUUUUUAAAUUGGUACAAAAAGCAGUCAGAAAAAAAGCAAAAUUAAAUGCAUUACCAACUGUAUUUUUUAAGGUUAUGUCCUUUCAUCAUUAUUUUGGUUAUUUUGUUUGUACCUUAUUUUGCUUUCAUUUUGUUGAUGUUGAAAGAGGACAGUGAAAAAUGAUGCAGAUGAUGAUAAAGAUGUAAAACCAGUUGAUGAUGAUUUAAAAUUGUACGGAAAUAAAUAACUACAGUUAAGGUCAUUUAGAUUGGUUCCAAUUUAGAAGUGAAUCUUUCACUUGUUAACCUAAUAUGGCUUUUUAAAAAGCUGUGACUAGUUGACAAAAUACAAUUUACUAAUCAGAAGCAAUUCAAUCACUGGUUUCACAAAAUUCAUCAAUUGACCAAACAUUAAUGAUUGAAUUAGAUGGAAAUUUCAUUUUCCC